rnacentral:rRNA from 1 species
AGAGUUUGAUUCUGGCUCAGAACGAACGCUGGCGGCGUGGAUAAGACAUGCAAGUCGAACGAGAGAAUUGCUAGCUUGCUAAUAAUUCUCUAGUGGCGCACGGGUGAGUAACACGUGAGUAACCUGCCCCCAAGAGUGGGAUAGCCCCGGGAAACUGGGAUUAAUACCGCAUAAAAUCGCAAGAUUAAAGCAGCAAUGCGCUUGGGGAUGGGCUCGCGUCCUAUUAGUUAGUUGGUGAGGUAACGGCUCACCAAGGCGAUGACGGGUAGCCGGUCUGAGAGGAUGUCCGGCCACACUGGAACUGAGACACGGUCCAGACACCUACGGGUGGCAGCAGUCGAGAACCAUUCACAAUGGGGGAAACCCUGAUGGUGCGACGCCGCGUGGGGGAAUGAAGGUCUUCGGAUUGUAAACCCCUGUCAUGUGGGAGCAAAUUAAAAAGAUAGUACCACAAGAGGAAGAGACGGCUAACUCUGUGCCAGCAGCCGCGGUAAUACAGAGGUCUCAAGCGUUGUUCGGAAUCACUGGGCGUAAAGCGUGCGUAGGCGGUUUCGUAAGUCGUGUGUGANAGGCGGGGGCUCAACCCCCGGACUGCACAUGAUACUGCGAGACUAGAGUAAUGGAGGGGGAACCGGAAUUUUUCGGUGUAGCCGUGGAAAGGGGUAGAUAUUGAGAGGAACAUUCCUGGGGAAGGGGGGUUUCCUGGUCAUUAACUGACGCUGAGGCACGAAGGCCAGGGGAGCGAAAGGGAUUAGAUACCCCCGUAGUCCUGGCAGUAAACGGGUGCACGCUUGGUGUGCGGGGAAUCGACCCCCUGCGUGCCGGAGCUAACGCGUUAAGCGUGCCGCCUGGG